rnacentral:rRNA from 1 species
AGAGUUUGAUUCUGGCUCAGGAUGAACGCUAGCGGCAGGCCUAAUACAUGCAAGUCGAACGGAACAGCAAUGUUUAGUGGCGGACGGGUGCGUAACACGUAAGCAACCUACCCAUGAGUGAGGGAUACCGGCUUGAAAGGGCCGUUAAUACCGCACGAUGCAGCGGGCCCGUUAGGGGCAAUAGUUGUUAAAGCUGCAAGGCGCUUAUGGAUGGGCUUGCGUCUGAUUAGUUAGUUGGCGGGGUAACGGCCCACCAAGACGACGAUCAGUAACUGGUCUGAGAGGGUGAUCAGUCACACUGGCACUGAGACACGGGCCAGACUCCUACGGGAGGCAGCAGUAGGGAAUAUUGGGCAAUGGGCGCAAGCCUGACCCAGCCAUGCCGCGUGCGGGAUGAAGGAGCUUCGCUUCGUAAACCGCUUUUAAUUGGGACUAAGGGGUUUGUAACUCAAGCCAUUGUUGUACCAAAGGAAUAAGGACCGGCUAACUACGUGCCAGCAGCCGCGGUAAUACGUAGGGUCCAAGCGUUGUCCGGAUUUACUGGGUUUAAAGGGUGCGUAGGCGGCUGUUUAAGUCGGUGAUGAAAUGCCAGGACUUAACCUUAGGCGCUGUUACCGAUACUGGACGGCUAGAGCUAGCGUAAGGCAGCUGGAAUAAGUGGUGUAGCGGUGAAAUGCGUAGAGAUCACUUAGAACACCGAUUGCGUAGGCAGGUUGCUGGCGCUAAGCUGACGCUGAGGCACGAAGGCAUGGGGAUCAAACAGGAUUAGAUACCCUGUAGUCCAUGCAGUAAACGAUGGAUACUAGCUAUUUGGGAUGCAAGUCUUGAGUGGCCAAGCGAAAGUGAUAAGUAUCCCACCUGGGAACUACGCCCGCAAGGGUGAAACUCAAAGAAAUUGACGGGGGCCCGCACAAGCGGUGGAGUAUGUGGUUUAAUUCGAUGUACGCGAGGAACCUUACCUGGGCUAGAAUGCGCGCGACCGGCUCAGAGAUGGGUUUUCCCCGCAAGGGGCGCAAAGCAAGGCGCUGCAUGGCUGUCGUCAGCUCGUGCCGUGAGGUGUUGGGUUAAGUCCCGCAACGAGCGCAACCCCUGUGAUUAGUUGCCAGCGCGUCAUGGCGGGGACUCUAAUCAGACUGCCUUCGUAAGGUUGAGGAAGGGGGGGACGACGUCAAGUCAUCAUGGCCCUUACGCCCAGGGCUACACACGUACUACAAUGGUCGGUACAAAGGGCAGCAAGACCGCGAGGUGGAGCGAAUCCCAAAAAGCCGAUCUCAGUUCGGAUUGGAGUCUGCAACUCGACUCCAUGAAGUUGGAAUCGCUAGUAAUCGCGUAUCAGCAACGACGCGGUGAAUACGUUCCCGGGCCUUGUACACACCGCCCGUCAAGCCACGGAAGCUGGGGGCGCCUGAAGUCGGGGGAUCAAAUCCCUGCCGAGGGCGAAACUGGUAACUGGGGCUAAGUCGUAACAAGGUA